rnacentral:lncRNA from 1 species
UUUUUUUACCCCUAAGUGGGGUCAAUUGCACCCCUGCCCCUUGCUUAAAUCCGCCCCUGGGAGUAGCAUGGCUGUCAAGGUUGCUCAUAACCUUUGUGCGCACUGCAAUGAACACCUACAACGAAAACUUAAUCGAAUGAGAAUGUCCCAACAACACAAAAAGAGAGGUUUUUUAAUUUAAAAAAAAAAGAAGAAGAAAAAGAAUCAGUAACUCUGUAAGUUGGAUCAUGUCUCACGGGAUUUGAGUUGAUUGCCUCAAGGAGGUAGUUCCUGACCAGUUAGCUACUUCACAGGUCUGGGUUUU